UACGUAGGGGGCAAGCGUUGUCUGGAAUCAUUGGGCGUAAAGCGCGUGUAGGCGGCUCGAUAAGUCUGCUGUGAAAGUCCAGGGCUCAACCCUGGGAUGCCGGGUGGAUACUGUCGAGCUCGAGUCCGGAAGAGGCGAGUGGAAUUCCUGGUGUAGCGGUGAAAUGCGCAGAUACAGGAGGAACACCAAUGGCGAAGGCAGCUCGCUGGGGACGUGACUGACGCUGAGACGCGAAAGCGUGGGGGAGCAAACAGG
rnacentral:rRNA from 1 species